ACGGAAGGCAGCAGUGAGGAAUAUUGGUCAAUGGGCGGAAGCCUGAACUAGCCAUGCCGCGUGAAGGAAUAAGGCCCUAUGGGUCGUAAACUUCUUUUGUACGGGAGCAAUAAGGUUCACGUGUGAACCGAUGAGAGUACCGUACGAAUAAGCAUCGGCUAACUCCGUGCCAGCAGCCGCGGUAAUACGGAGGAUGCAAGCGUUAUCCGGAUUUAUUGGGUUUAAAGGGUGCGUAGGCGGCUUGUCAAGUCAGAGGUGAAAUACCGUUGCCCAACAGCGGGGCUGCCUUUGAUACUGAUGGGCUUGAAUACUGUUGCCGUGGGAGGAAUGAGUAGUGUAGCGGUGAAAUGCAUAGAUAUUACUCAGAACACCGAUUGCGAAGGCAUCUCACGAAGCAGGGAUUGACGCUGAGGCACGAAAGCGUGGGGAUCAAACAGGAUUAGAUACCCUGGUA
rnacentral:rRNA from 1 species